rnacentral:hammerhead_ribozyme from 1 species
AUCCAGCCGACGAGUUCCAAGUAGGACGAAACGCGCGUUCUGGAU